rnacentral:lncRNA from 1 species
UUUUGCUGGUGUGAUUUCUGCUUUUCUCUUAUCAUUUAUUUUGAUUUUGGAGAGCAACUUUGGUAAUGUUAAGGUGAUUUAAGAAAAGUUGGUUGUCCAAGAAUCAAUAUUUUUAUAUUACCUUAAAUCUUCCUAAGACAUGUUGGGUCUUUCUUUGGCCUUUGUUAGUGUCUUCUAUUAAGUCUGUUAGUUUCACUUUAGUUGGGUCUUUUUUUAAUUUUAUUUUAUCUUUUAAAUUCCAAAUCCUACUCAUUUGGUCAUGACGAUUGAAUAAUCAUUGUUAAAUUUAUUUCUUGUUGGGAGUGUAGAUUUUAUUUUCUUUUUGGCCUUUGUUAUUUGCAUCUAUACAGGGGUUCGAAAAAUUCAAACCCUUCCCUCUUUUAUUCGACAUUCUUUUAGUUUUAUUUGUACUAUUGGAUUGUUAAAAACAAUUGUGUUACUAUUUCUUACAUUCCAUAAAGAACCCUUUCUGAUGAAUUAUUUCUUAUUGAACUGUUUUAAAAUUUUGAGUUUCUUCUUUUUCUUUUUUGGGUCCAUUGUUGGGGGAUGAUACAUCUUUAAUUUUUUUUUUUUUUUGAUAAGAGAUGAUACAUCUUUAAUUUAGAUUUAUUAUCGUUAGCUUGUUUUGCAUUUUGUAUUAUGUUUUUUGAAAUUUUGAGUUUCUUCUUUUUCUUUCUUUGGUCAUGUGUUGUGCGAUGUUAUUUGCAUUAGGGGUGUUUGGUUGGUUGUUUUUUUAGGGGUGUUUUGGUUAGUUAGGCUUAAGAAGCAAGGGCUAGUGAAAGAGAAGCAUUUGAUUGUCCUACAAGUAAUAAGCUUCUCCUCAAUCAUUCAACCAUUUUUUUAGUAAAGAAAGAGGCUUCUCCUCUGGCAACCAAAGUCCGUCCCUCGUUAACAGGUAAGUCUACCCCAUUACUUUUUAUGUCCUUUUAAUUAAGAUAUUUGGGUCAAUAUAUAUCAAAAUAAAUAAGAUCCAUCUUUGGUAAUUUUUAAAAAAUUUAAAUCUAUAAAUACUCAUUUCAUCUCUAAAAUUAUGUGAUUUGUACUUUCUAAAAUUCCCUCGAUGGUACUAAUACACUCUUAUAUUUGUAUUGUAAUUAUCAUGUCCUUUUUCUAUGGUUUUUUAAAGUUAAUUUAGAUCCUUAUUCGCUCUAGGUAUAAGUUGAAUGGAAGAGUUUUUUAGCCUUGAUAGAUCUUGAGUACCUGAAUCGCCGAUGAAACAGAGGUUAUUUUCUCGGAAAUUCCACGAAUUGUUCAGGUUUGGAUUCUGUAAUUCUGUUGGUUCUUUUUUGAUUUUGGAGUGUGUCCUGGGUAAUUUUGAGGAUUAUUAUUUUUUUGUUUUUUUGGCUUGCAUUUAAUCACGCACGUUGGGGAAUAGACAGGCUUCGGAGAAUGAAUCACCUUUUUAAGGUUUCGCUGGGGAGCGAAUUGGCCAUAAGGCAUCCCUUUCUGUUCAGUCUCUCUCUUGCCUUUUUCAUACUAUAUGGUUGUUGAACUGGGGUUAUUGAAUGAUUGUUGCUUUUAUUUUCAUAAGAAGUGAUCUUAUAUUUUUGUUUCUCUCUGUGUAACUUUAAUAUGAGGUUAUUAAGGAAGGAGAUAAAGGAGGAAGAAGGGACGGAGAAAAGGAAGAAAUGACUGGAUUGUUGGGAUGGGUAUGAAGAUGCAGUAGAGCCACCACCUAGGGGCUGUAAGGUCUAAUGGGCAAAUUGAAAGUAAAAAAGAGUGCACAUCCAUUCAAGCUAAGAGAGCUUGGAUUCCUAAAUUACUAUUGCUCUGGGUUCUGUUGGAGGCAUUGAUUGGUAUUGUUAAUCUACAAGGGAAUUGAUGGUGUUAACAAAGUUAGAAGAAAGGAAGUUUUGGGCGUAUGUGUGACCGGAGCACAAAGAUGCUUCUGCAUCAAUUUACUGUCAGUGUUAAACUAUGUCCAUGCUUUGGUUAUUCUAUUUUAUACUUUCCACUCCUCUCGAAAUGUAUCAACAAUUGUUUAUGUAAAUGUGUUUCGAUUUCUGUUUGAUACUUCUCAGUUAGUUAGGCUUAAAAGUAUGAGAGAUAAUUCAUUUCUCGUCUCAUAUAGAAAUUAUCUUGAUGUCUUGAUUUUUAGGGUUUUUUUCAGCGGUUUUUGGUUUUUUUAUUUUUUUGUUGGAUUUUGGCUAGUUAGGCUUAGAGGUGCAAGGACUUGUGAAAGAGAAGCAUUUGAUUGACCAACGAGUAAUUAGUUUCUCCUCAAGCAUCCCACCACUUUUCUAUUAAAGAAAUACAGGUACGUCUACGCUAUUACUUUUCAUGUCCUUUUACUUAAGAUAUUUAUAUAAAUAUAUAUAAAAAUAAAUAAGAUCCAUCUUUGGUAAUUUUUUUUAAAAUCAAAUCUGUGGAUAUUCAUUUCAUCUCUAAAGUUUUGCGUUUUGUUACUUUUUAAAAUUCCCUCCAUGUCACUAUUACACUCCUAUAUUUGUGUUGUAAUUAUGAUGUCCUUUUUCUAUGGUCUGUUAAAGUUAAUUUAAAUCCUUUUUUGCUCUUGGUUUAUGUUGAAGAAAUGGAAGAUUUUUUUAGCCUUAAUAGAUCUGGAGUACCUUAAUCGCUCUUGCAUUUUGUGAUUCUGUUCUUUUUCUAUUUUGAAGAGUGUCCUGAGUAAUUUUUAGGAUUUUUAUUUUAUAGUUUUUGUCGCUUGCAUUUAAACACAGACUUGGUUGUUGAACUGGGGUUCUUGAAUAAUUGUUGGUUUUGUUUUCUGAAGAAGUGAUCUUAUAUUUGUGUAUCUCUAUGUGCAACUUUAAUAUGGGGUUAUUAAGGAUGGAGAUAAAGGAGGAAGAAUGGAGAGAGAAAAGGCAGAAAUGACUUAAUUGUUGGGAUGAGUAUGACCCCAUGUCUAGUAGUUCCCAAGUAUGAUAUAGGAAGGCAUAGAGUCAAGGCCUUGUCUGACUCUAAUAGAAGUAAGUAGCUAACGCAACGCAAUAUUCUUUGCACCUUCAGUCUGUGAAUUUGAGGUGUAAGAGUUUGGCCAGAGGAGCUAGUCUCGUAACUGCGGGCGCAGUUCUAGUUCUUUACAAGACAGAUGGGAACGGUAGCUAACAAGUGUGCCCUGAGUGGAAUCCUACCACUACUCUUUCUACUAUAUUGGCAGGACGGGUGCCAAGUUAUUAGUAGCUAGGCAGCUAAGCCAGUAGUAGUUCAGUUCAGGCGCUGUUCUCAAAUCUAGUUGACUACGUUGUAGCGUAGCGGUACGGGACAGGAAAAGAAUUGAUAGCGGUACACUGAACACAAAGAAAUUUGAUAGACAUAUGUUGAGAGUUCGACAAGUAGCACUGAAUCUACUAUCAGUAGUGAUUUAUAGAAGUUGACUCGCUUAAACGAAGAGAGUGAACAAAGCAUAGCGGAGUGAAGAGAGAAAUGGUUUCAUUAGAUAGCUCUCUCGAUGUCCUUGUUAUCUUUCCUAGGUAGAUUGUGACUUAUUCAUUCUUUCUCGCUGACUCUGGUUUCCCCGCCGUGGAUCCUUUCUCGGUUAGGGCCUCCCCUAUCCUUAUUCAUUGAUCGCUCUCUUUGCCGCGAAUCUCGGCAUGGUGGUCCUUCGCCUCGCAAUAUUCUUUGCUCCUCCUUCCUGGGCUUGAUGGGUACAUCAAGCAUAUCGGCAUCUUGCUUCUUUGGUGUGGUACACAUAUCUAUCAAUGAAAAGAAAGUAAUAGAAUUCAUUCCCGCAUACUCGCAUAUUGAAUUGCGCCUUCAGACCAUCAAAGAAAGGUCCAGGGUCUGGAGUCCGCAGGAUUUAUCCGGAGUCCGAAGGAUUUAUCCGUAGGACCAUCCAUAUGGAGGGAAGUAGUCCGGAGGAUUUAUUCGUAGGACCAUCCGUAAUUAACAGAAGUAGGACUAUCCAUUAUCCUUCAUCCGGAGUCCGCAGGAUUCUUAUCCGUAGGACUAUCCAUAUGGAAGUAGGACUUGUUUUUAACCAAUCUGAGGAACUCAAACUUAUGGCCUCCGUAGUCCGCUCCCUCCCUUUAUUUUCAAGGUUGAAUAUGAAAGGUUUGAAGUUAGAAGUGAAAGGAAGAAAAAGUCAAUAGAAGUCCUCCGUCUCUCUUCUUUAUGGUCCGGAGCCUUCGAUCAUUCUUUGAGCCUCUAGACCUACUAGAGAAAGCCCCACUCCGCGGAAGAACCUAGAAAGCUAAGCUUGAUAAAGUCCUCCGCCUAAUUCAAUGGAUCUAAUGGACGCAAUAUUCUUUGCACUUGGACCCAGCCUCCAGCUUCUUAUUCGACGUUAGGAGUAUUAAGACCGAAGGACAGACGGGUCCUUCUAUAUAUUCUUUGCACCGCUCUGUGGGUCCUUUCCAUUAAUAGUUAGGAGUCUUAAGACCUCAGUCCUAUCCAUAUUAACCCGCGCUAAGUUCCAUUAAGAGAAAAUUCUUUGCUCUCUGCGACUCGAAGUAAUAGUAUUCAACAAUAUCCCUGUCUUAUGGCGCCUCGCAUAAAUACGGCUUCGAUCAUUCUUUGAGCCUCCGUCGCAAGUCAAAUUCUCUAAUGGAUAGGCCUUCUCCUUCGCCUAUAAAUUCCCAUAUUAAGCUACGAAAUAAAGAAAGCACUACGCGGGAAGAACUGAUCAAUGAAAUUUGAUUGAUUGAAUUUCAUCAUAUCAUAUUUGAAAAAGAAAGAAUAUUGAGGUGCAAAGAAUAUAUAGAAGGCGCAAAGAUCUAAAAAGAAAGGUCCAGAUGACUAUCCAUAUUAACCCAGAGAAAGUUCAGUCAGUUUCAGUGGAAUAAAGGGAAAGCCUAUCCAACAACAUUUCAGUGGAAUAGGAGAAAGGAAGUCCUCCGCUCCGUUGGAGUUGAAUUGGUCCUACGGGAAGAAAAUCAAUGAAGAAGUCAAUGCCCACUACGCGGGGUUAAAGUGAAAGAGGAAAGCCACUAAAAACCUCAAAAUAAUACGGAAAGCCUAGCCUUCUACGGCCUCCAAACAAAAAAAGCUUUACUAGACUCAAAUUCUUUGAGCCUCCGGAGCCUCAAAAAUAUAGCUUAAAGGAAGAGGUGCAAAGAAUAUUGCGUGAUUGAUGCCUCCGUCUCUCUGAUUUAUGGUUAUGGUUCUCCUGAACCUACUCCCUACGGCAAGGCAGAAGACUGCCAAACAGAAGAAAGCCUAGGAGAAGACAACUCCUAGAAAGUUUAAAAGUGGAAUCAAAUAACUAAGAACGAAGAUUUGUUGGGAAGGAAAGCCUUCAUAAGUACUUUCGUCUUAUUUUUAGUCCUCUUUCAUUGAUCUAUCUUGAUGCCAAGAAGAAACUUCAGGAUUACUAACAAUGAACAAGGGAAGCACUACGCGGAAGUUUCAGUUCCUCAGUCGGAAUAUGGACCUCGCAUAUUUCAUUGUGCCUUCUCUCCUUUCAGUCGAGCCCUCAGUCCUAUCCAUCAGUCGAGCCCUCGGGGAGCCUUGAACUUCCUUUAACUGCUUUCCUAUUCCUUUCACUUUUUCUGACUUUACCCUCUCUUUAUUCCGCUCCGUCUUCUUGAAUGAAUCUCAAUUGCAGACUUCUACGUCUUCUGUUUUAUUUUAGUAGGCUCUCUUCUUUUUCAGACGAAGGAUUCUCCCGCUCCGUGGGGUCUUGGACGAGGAUUCUCCCAAGAACCUAACAAAAUACUGAAGAAAGCCAAUCUAGAGACUGAAUACGAGAAACUGAAAGGAGAAAAGCCUAUGAUUUUCAGCAAGCAUUCUUGGAAAGUAACAAUUCUCUUCAGUUUGGUUUUGGAGAACUUGUUGGUCGCGGAUUAGUGCGUUCUGCGCCGCCCGGUGUCACAAUCGUAGUCCUUCAAACAAGAUGUGAACGAUUGUGCGGCACUUGUUCUAGCUCGACGAACAAGUCAGCCGAUCAAAAUCCGCAAAUCGCGGACAACUUUAACACAUGCUUCAACCUCCCCUCACGUUCUUGGAAAAUAUUUUUAGAAAACGUGAAAGAUGAUUAAAUUGAUUGAAAACAUUGUUAAAACAAGCAUUGAAGACUGUCAAUUGCAAUAAGAAAGCAUAGGUUGCAAAGAGUACGACAAGGCUUGGGCGGGGAUUCAACAAGUAUGACUCCCCUAUAGUACAUUUUUAACAUUUUCAUCUCUGGCAGGCUUGCAUAUGAAAAGUGCCAAAACGUCACACCCAAGCAUAUCGACUUGAAAUUGAAAGCAACUACCUAAACUACAUACAAGACAUAAAGACAAGAUAAAUUGGGGCUAAUUGGAGCAUACGGCCAUAGGUAAACACACCUUGGACAAGUAUGUCCGUUACAUUCUCCUCCACCUAAACAGUUGACGUCCCUGUCGACUGGUGAAGCUUGAACUCCUCGAUCUUCUGCGCCUCGGCUUCUAGGUCUUCGACACGUUCCCAACUGGUUUCUUCCACAGGAAGGUUCUUCCACUUUACCAGGUACUCGUGGAUCCUUCUUGUGGGUCUUCGGCCCUUCCUCACUCGUUCGGUCAAGAUUUCUUCAACUUCUUUACUCUCCUUCUGGCUGAGGUUGAUGGCCGGUCGGACUAUGGCAUUACGUUGCAUGUCAUCAGGAUCUUGGUAGUAGGGCUUCAAAUUACUCACAUGAAUUACUGGGUGGAUUUUCAUCCAUGUGGGCAACGCUACUUUAUAAGAUGUGUUCCCUACCUUCUUCAGCACUUCCACUGGUCCCUCGUACUUUCUUAGGAGGCGUUGGUCCUUGCGUCCUCGGAACCGAAUCUGUCCUGGUCGUAACUUAAUGAGAACCUGAUCUCCGACCCGCAACUCUAGAGGGCAGCGCUUCUUGUCUGCCCACUUCUUCAUCCGCUUCGAGGCUUUCCCUAAAGAGGCUCGAGCGAUGUCUGUCGUCUGCUUCCAUUCUCUGGUAAAAUUGUGAGCUUGAGGGUUCUUCCCCGCAUAGGGGUGAUCAACAAGGUGUGGCAGAACUGGUUGCCUUCCGCAAACAAUUUCAAAAGGGCUCUUUUCAGUUGACGAGCUUGUCUGAGCGUUAAAACAAAACUGGGAGACAUCCAACAACUGAGCCCAAUUUCUUUGCCUCGCAGUAACAAAAUGGCGCAAGUAUUCUUCGAGCAUACAGUUGAACCGCUCGGUCUGACCGUCCGUUUGGGGAUGGUAACUUGAGGACACAUUCAGGCUUGUCCCUAAGAAAGUGAAUAACUCUGUCCAAAAGGUGCCAAUGAACCGUCCAUCCCGAUCACUCACAAUGCUUGUCGGUAUGCCCCACAGUUUCACAAUAUGUCUAAAGAAUAAUUGAGCUGUUAACUCCGCCGAACACUGCUUCGUAGUGGGAACGAAAGUGGCAUAUUUCGAGAAUCGAUCUAUGAUGACUAAUAUAGUCUCAUAGUCGCCUACUUUUGGGAGAUGGGUGAUGAAGUCCAUAGAAACACUCUCCCACGGUCUCGUUGGCACCUGCAGAGGUUCGAGAAGCCCAGCAACCUUUGCCUUCUCGACUUUGUCCUGUUGACAGACAAGACACGUCUUCGUGUAUUGCAUGACGUCGUCUCUCAUACGGGGCCAGAAGUAUCCUUUCUUCAGCAAGGCGUAUGUCCUCUGCCAUCCGGGGUGGCCGGCCCACAGAGUGUCGUGACACUCGUGUAGCAACUUCUUCCUCAGGUCUCCUCCCCUAGGGACAUACAACCGUCUCCCCUUCGUCACUAACAACCCAUCUUCAACCCAAAACUGCCUUCUUUUACCUGCCUCAGCUAAACUCAUGACACUCCAAGCCACAGAAUCCUUCUGCAAGAACUCCCUCAAGACAUCGCGCAUAGGGCCAUCAAUCUUGCUUGCUUAGAGAUGUGCUAACAUGCACAAAGCAGCGUGGUCGCCUCUUCGACUAAGCGCAUCAGCGGCCUGAUUGCUCACCCCCUUCUUGUGUUCAAACUCAAAAUCAAACUCAGCUAGGAAUUCCUGCCAUCUAGCUUGUUUUGAAGUCAACUUCGGUUGCGUAAAGAAGUGACAAGUAGCACUAUUGUCCGUCUUCACAACAAAAGUUGACCCCAAUAAGUACUGUCUCCAGGCCCUUAAGCAAUGUACUACGACAAGCAUUUCUUUCUCGGACACGGUGUACCUCCUCUCCGCGGCAUUUAGUUUCCGACUCUCAUCUGGACCUUUCUUUGGCACUGCGGACUACUUCGGUUAAUUACGGAUGGUCCUACGGAUAAAUCCUGCGGACUCCGGACGUAGGAUAAAUUCUGCGGACUCCUUCCUUCCAUAUGGAUGGUCCUACGGAUAAAUCCUCCGGACUACUUAGGUUAAUUACGGAUGGUCCUACGGAUAAAUCCUCUGGACUACUUCGGUUAAUUACGGAUGGUCCUACUUCCAUAUGGAUAGUCCUACUUGUAAUGGAUAGUCCUCCGGAUAAAUCCUGCGGAUGUAGGACCUUGGUUCUUUCUUUCUUUAAUGGAUAGUCCUCCGGAUAAAUCCUGCGGACUGCGGACGUAAGACCCUGGACCUUUCUUUGGCACUCCGAACGGAUAAAGAAAGGAUAAAUAAAGGCGCAAAGAAUAUUGCGAGAGCGGGAAUUACCUUUUCUCUUCAGGUUAGCUAAGAGUUGCCGGAGGCUUGAAGUCGGAUAAUUACUUUUACUUAAAGGUUUCACAAACCUGCAAAAUCUUCUCCAAAUUAGUGUUAGCGUUCUGAGUGCCAAGCAGUAUAUUUAAAAUAUAGAAAGAAGAAAAAUCCAUGCAAUCUAAGUACACUAAGAACCUACAGCAUCGUCACCGCUGCUUGGGAAGGUUAAUUCUUCUAACUCUGGUAUUAUCGUUGAACAAGCAGUUCACAUCCGACUGCCCGCGUAGUGGGGGAAGCUCGCUCGCUAACUUUGCACUUCGGCCAAAAUGCCGAAAAAAGGCUAAGGCCGAAGGAGGUCUGCUCCUUCGCUCAAGGAAAAAUUGCCCGAUUGGAUAUAUAUCUCGGAGCAGAGAGAGGAAAGGAUCACGGAAGCCUUAGUCUCAGUACGAAAGGGGCAAAAAGCUGGAAAAAGCAUACUGGCUUCACCUUGCCCUAGGAUGGGGUCCGUCGGAUCUUUUAAGACAUAGGCUUAAUGCUGAGACGCACGGGGAUAUCCAGUAAAGGAUGGAUAUUCAAGACAAGGACGAAGGCUCUCCGUCACGCAAGAUGAUUAUAAGUCUUAGGAGUGAACUUCCGCUUUACCCCUUCUCGGUUUACCCUUCUUUUAGGAUAGAAAAAGCCACUGCCUGUGUGACCACUACAAGCGGACGUGACGAGCGACGCAGGGCCACCCACGACCGCUAGCAAUACGAGGUAAAGCGGCCAGAAAGCAUACCAUAGGAUGCGUCUUGAGGGCAUUCACAUAAACAUUCUUCGAAUUAUUCACAUUCGACGGGAUGUUCUUAGCCUUGUCUCCAGGUGAAUAAUUGAAUCGGCACCGGCGCGAUCGGACCUAUUGCAGCCUUCGGUUGACUGGUGGCAUUCGAUGGUAUGCUUUGAGGCCUUCCCAACCCGCUCCGUGUAAAAGAGGUAGAAGGAGGCUCAAAGAAUUAUCGAAGAGCGAGACGAAAGAAAAUAGCGACUUCCAGUCGGUGAUGGGAUAUCUCAAUGUUAUCGUAGAUUCAAAGGCGCAAAGAAUAUUGCAUUGAGGCUCGACUGAAAGGAGAGGCGAAUUUGAGAAGAAAGAACUAUAUCGGAUAAAUACUCAACUGCCUCAGACGUCACUGGGACAAGAGCCGGAGAUUCUGAAACCUCUCGCAGCUUCUUUGCUUCCUCUGGUCUCGAUAUUUGAACCGCCUCAAUAAACAACAAAUAAGGGUCCAAAAAAUCAAGGUCAUCUGAAACCCUUUUUUUGAUGCGCCUCAGUCCUAUCCAUUAGAACGCCGGCCCUCACCCUUUUUCUUCUUAGUGCGCACUUGAGCUUUAGUCUUCCGAGUUCUCAAAUUCUUUGACCCUCUGUCUCAGUAUUCGGCAGAGAUGUUGAUGUUAACAAGAAAUGCAGGCUGAAUGCUGUAUGGAAGGAUGAUCAUUUUGGCUUCUUGUAGCCAUUGAUGCUGUCUAAUACUCGGAGAGACAUUGUUAGUAAUGUGACUUUGGACAAGGUUACUGAAGAUAGAACUAUCUGGCCUCAGGUCAGUUUUCAGUUGCUAAGGCAGUGAAGCUCUUUCAUCUUCCUGGUAAUACUGUCCCUUGGUUCAAGCUUCUUUGGGGUAAGAAGCACAUCCCUAGUCAUGCUUUUCUUUCCUGGAUGGCUAUGAAUAAGAGUCUGAGAGUCAAAAUGGCUAUGAAUAAGAGUCUGAGAGUCAAAGCUAAACUGUACAAUCUUUAAGUGCUUCCGUCUGAUUUUGAGGUUUGGAAGCAAAGAAGCAGAGCGGAGUUUGAUUCCUUAUAUCAGGAAAAGAUAUAGGAAGACUCCCAAGAAGAAGAAAGCCUAGGAGAAAGCAAAGAAAGAGUAAGGAUCAGAAAGCUCCUAACCCCUAUUUAUUUAUGGAUGUGAAUUGAGCGAAGGCGCAAAGAAUAUUGCGAAGGUUCAAAGAAUAUUGACUUGAUAAACCUCUAUUUAGCUUCUUAUAUCUGAAGACGAUAAAGUCAGAUAAUCAGCCUUCGGCUGGGUCGGAUCGUCCAUACCUAGUUGAGUAUCUUUGUCCGUCAUAACGAAGUCACUCUUUGAAAAGGGUCGGGCUUUGUUGGAGUUGACUCGGUGAGUACACUUUCAUCUUGACGAGAAGAAGCGCGAACAACAACUAUAUUAUUCAGCCAGAGACCUGAUUUACCCGAUGAGUGGAACGGCUCGACAAAAGUCUUAGGACUCGCGGACAGACGCGCCUCCUUCCUGCUAGAACUCAUAGGUCUACGCGGGUUUUUUAGGUAGCGAGAAUAGUGGUCCCAAACGGAAUAGAAGUACUUUUGAUUCACUGAAUCGGAAUCUUUGAAAGAAUAAAGGGGGACGGAGGAUCAAUGAAAUUUGAUGAUGAUGAGUAAGCUCUCGGUUUUCUUGCUCCUCUUUCUCCUCUUUCUUCCAUAUGGAUAGUCCUACUUCUAAUGGUUAUCUUUAGUUUUACUAUUGUUCUUUUUUUAAUGUUUUCUUAGUUUUUAAUAAGUGUGACAAAAUAUGAAUUAAUUUUUUUCUUUGAACAAAUGUGGAAUUUAUUUUCUUUUAAUGUAGUUGUGUCCCCAAUAAAUUUAUUUUCGCGAUUUAACAAUCCAUCAUGUUCUUUUUCAUUUUUCUGUUGUAUUUUCUUUGGUUCUUUGUUGUGGUAUGUCUAUUUUUGAGACAUUCUUAAUUUAGUUUUAUUUCUUUUAGCUUCCUGCAUCAUUUUGUAUUAUGGAUUGUUAUGAAAUUUUGAGAUUAUGCUUUAUUUUGUUUUUUUGGUCCUUUGGUGUGAUGUCUUUUGAUUAUUUCUUUUGAGUGAACAGUUCAUGUAAGAUUUUCUGCAUGAGAAUAAAUUGAUUAUUUAAUUUGGCAUCCUAAGUUUGCUCUGGGUUCUGUUGGUGGCAUUCAUCAAUAUGUUAAUCUAUUAGGGAAUGUAUGGUUAUAACAAAGUAAGAAGAAUGGAAGUUCUGGGGGAGUAUUUGUGACAAGAGGGCAAGGAUGCUUCUGCAUCAAUUUAGUGUUAGUCAAUCAUGUCUAUGCUUUGGCCCUUCUCAUUCCACUUUCCACUACUACAAAAAUGUAUCUGCAAUUGAUCAUGUAAAAGUGUUUCAAUUUUCUGUCUUAGGUUCAUCUCAGUUAGUUAGUCUUAAGAGUAAGGGAGAUAAUUCAUUUUUCUUGUUUCAGCUAGAUAUUACCCUCCAUGUCCUGAUUUUUAAUUUGGCUUCCUAAGUGUGCUCUAGGUUCUGUUGGUAGCAUUCGUCAGUAUGUUAAUCUACAGGUGAAUCUAUAGUUAUAACAUAGUAAGAAGAAUGGAAGUUCUUGGGGAGUUUGUGUGACAAGAGGGCAAGGAUGCUUCUGCAUUAAUUUAGUAUCAGUGUCAACCAUGUUUAUGCUUUGGCCAUUCUCAUUUCCACUUUCCACUACUCCAAAAAUGUAUUAUCUGCAAUUGAUCAGGUAAAAGUGUUUCAAUUUUCUGUCUUUGGUUCAUCUCAGUUAGUUAGUCUUAAGAGUAAGGGAGAUAAUUCGUUUUUCUUGUUUCAGCUAGAUAUUACUCUCCAUGUCUUGAUUUUUAGUUUUUUAGGGGUGCUUGGUUGGUUUGAAUGCAGGAAACUUUUGCUGGUAAACGAUUCAAACAGCUUUCCAUGUCAGGUUUUUCUAUUAUUUUUCUUUAAUAUUUUGGAACAUGUGUAAUUUCUGUAUAUAUUUUCUUGCCGUUUUCCUUUUUCAUCAUUUAUUUUGAUUUUGGAGAGGGUCUCUUGGUAACUUGACUUUUCUUUUAGUUUUGACUUGGGAACAUGUGCAUUGUGGAUUGUUAUGAAAUUUUGAGUUUCUGCUUUCUUUUGAGUUUUGGUGAUGCCUUUUUACGAGACAUUUUUAAUUUAGGUUAAUUUUUUAGGUUGCUUGCAUUUAUGGAUUGUUCUGAAAUUUUGACUUUCUGCUUUUGUUUUUUAUGUCAUUUGUUGUGUGAUAUUCUCUUUAUAAGAUAGAGAUAUUUUUAAUUUAGGUUUACUAUUUUUUAGCCUGCUUGCAUUUGGUAUCAUAUAUGAAUUGUUCUGAAUUUUGAGUUUCUUCUUUUUCAGUCAUUUGUUGUGCGAUAACUUUUUAUAAGACAGACAUUAAGAUUUAUUAUUUUUGGACUUGUUUGUAUUUUGUAUCACGGAUUGUGGUUUUUUAAAUUCAGAGGAGGAACUAGAAAUUGUUCUUGUGAUAUGUUAAAAUCUAGUUUACUGCAAAGAAUGAAUUCUAAAACAGAGGGUAUGAAUGUCGUCAAUAAUUUUUCUCCAUUUCUGCGUUGAGUAAUGUUUAGCUGAUAUGUUUGUGUAUUCUUUACAUUAGUGCAGCACCACAUGCUAAUUUAGGUGUGAAAUGCUAAUUUAGAUGUGAAACAAUUCCAAAGAUGACGAGAAAUCAAAGAUUGUCGUAGUAAAAAACCUCACCAGUUUUUCAGUUUUUCUUUUCUUUUUCUUUAAUAGUUUGAGUUUUUCCUUUCAGGUUUUUCUUUUCUUUUUCUUUAAUGGUUUGGAAUUUUGCUGGUGUGAUUUCUGCUUUUCUCUUAUCAUUUAUUUUUGAUUUUGGAGAGCAACUUUGGUAAUGUUAAGGUGAUUUAAGAAAAGUUGGUUGUCCAAGAAUCAAUUUUUUUAUAUUACCUUAAAUCUUCCUAAGACAUGUUGGGUCUUUCUUUGGCCUUUGUUAGUGUCUUCUAUUAAGUCUGUUAGUUUCACUUUAGUUGGGUCUUUUUUUAAUUUUAUUUUAGCUUUUAAAUUCCAAAUCCUACUCAUUUGGUCAUGACGAUUGAAUAAUCAUUGUUAAAUUUAUUUCUUGUUGGGAGUGUAGAUUUUAUUUUCUUUUUGGCCUUUGUUAUUUGCAUCUAUACAGGGGUUCGAAAAAUUCAAACCC